rnacentral:rRNA from 1 species
GUGGGGAAUCUUAGACAAUGGGCGCAAGCCUGAUCUAGCCAUGCCGCGUGAGCGAUGAAGGCCUUAGGGUUGUAAAGCUCUUUCGCUGGGGAAGAUAAUGACUGUACCCAGUAAAGAAGCCCCGGCUAACUCCGUGCCAGCAGCCGCGGUAAUACGGAGGGGGCUAGCGUUGUUCGGAAUUACUGGGCGUAAAGCGCACGUAGGCUGAUAUUUAAGUCAGGGGUGAAAUCCCGGGGCUCAACCCCGGAACUGCCUUUGAUACUGGGUAUCUUGAGUAUGGAAGAGGUCAGUGGAAUUGCGAGUGUAGAGGUGAAAUUCGUAGAUAUUCGCAGGAACACCAGUGGCGAAGGCGGCUGACUGGUCCAUUACUGACGCUGAGGUGCGAAAGCGUGGGGAGCAAACAGGAUUAGAUACCCGGGUAGUCC